GUACAAAAAUAUGAAUCGUGAAGUAAAUUAAUUAUUGCUUGACAAAAGAAAAGAGAAUGAAUAUUUCUUAAAGUUAUCCUCAGCCACCGCUUAACAACAUAAGCGUUAUCUUCAAGCUGCCGUAUCCUGUACUUUCUUAUCCCGUCGUUGAUUUUUUCUGCUCGCUGGCCGCACAAGCCUCCAGCUCUUGUCUGUGCCGGCCGUCGCCCAGCCUGUCGAUCUCAUCUUCCUGUGAUUUUUAUCAGCCGCUGCACAGCCUUCAUCUCCCUCUCACUGCGUCCAGCCGCCCCUUCCUCAAUCGCGCCCAGCGGCUCCCAUGGCGAGCUCGCCGGGAUGCCAUGCUCCAGCCGACUUCCCUCCCCGUCUUCUCCCUGCUUCUGCUCGGAGCUCCAGCUCAGCUCCCUCCGUGCGUCCGCGACCUUUGCCGUGGGGCUCCUUCCUGCGCGCGCCGGACGCCGGGUUGUCUUCAACCUCCAGCCGUGGAUUUCCUGCCGUGGAGCUUCGUUUUCCCGUGCGCGCGUCUCAUCUCCAUAGCGCUCGGCUCUCCUCCUCCCUGUCCUCUGUGCGCGCGUGUGAGAGGUGACCAGGCCUAGAAUAGGUGUGAAGUGUGUGUGCGUGCUGGGCGUGAUGGGUGGAGUGGGCCACUGUAACCGGGAUACAUAUACACUGUCUUGUGGAGGGGGAAAGGGAAUGCAUAAUGGGAAUUAUCAAUAGAAUUCUUCUCGUUCCUUUCAUCUGUUCCUGCUUCCCCUUCUCGGAUCUCUCCCUUCUCCACUGCUUUCCUAUUCCGAUUAGGCUUCAUUUGCUGCUCUUUGUUGGUGAUCCUUGAGUGGUUGCUAACAAUUGGUAUCAGAGGCGUUCGAUCCUCGGUUUCAAUUUGUCAACACCAUGUCUCUCGAUUUCAAACUCAUCCUCGAUGAGUUCAACCGACGGUUCGACGAGCUAGAGAUUCGCUGGGACCGGCGCUUCUCGUCCGCCGCGUACAUCGACCUCCCGCGCACCUCGCUCAGCAUCAACCACUCCUCCGACGCGUUCGCCAGUGCGCCGCCCACCCCGGUCGCGGUCAUUGCAGACAAUUGGGGCGGGUGCUUCGACGACGGCGAGCAGUACCGCACUAGGCCAUCCGUCGUCGUCGACAACUGGGGCGGAUUCUUCUGUGGCGAGGACGUCGCUCCGUCAGACAACCCCACGAGAUUCGUCCUCCCCGUUGCCUCCCCCGACGAGCCCAGCAUCGACACCGCGCCGACCCGCGCCAACUCUGGAGCCGCGGAUGACUCCAUGUUUGUGACCGACGAACCCUCCGGCUACGACGAGAUAGAUGCUCGACUCGACCUGCGCUUCGCCAGGCUGCAGCAGCUGCAAGCUGAGGAGGUGGACGAGCCGUACCGUGACGCGGUGAGCCCACUGCCUCCUCUACCCGUCGUCUACGAGCCAUACCGCGAGGCAAGCCAUCCGCCUCCCGUCCACGACGACGAUGCGGGGGUGGUGUCCACGGGCUCGGAUGACAACCUCGACCUGCAGCAGAUCGCCAAGGAGUCGUCCGUGUCCUCGCCGCCGCGUCACAGCUCGAGAGACGCCGUCCGAGGUCCUUGCCCUCGUCCACUGCAUCACCAGCUAACUAUCCCUGUCGCGGCCAACCUGGACCAAAUCUGCCGCCUAUCCAGGCCCUGCGAUGUGGCCGGCCGGGGUCUCCUCUGUGACCUGCUCUGGUCCGACCCUUCUUCCAUGGAGGACAGAGAGUGGGCGGACAACAAGGAUCGAUACGUGUCCUGCACCUUCGGCGCCGACGUCGCGACGGACUGCCGCCGCGCGCAGGACCUGGACAUCGUUUGCAGAGCGCACCAGGUGAUGGAGGACGAAUACGAGUUCUCUGUCGACUGUCAGCUUGUCACCUUCUUCUCUGCCCCCAACUACCGCAAGCUCGGCUGCUCCUUCACCAUCAUCAAGCCGAAGGCGGACAGAAACAGCAGCUCGCCCCUCGGGUGUUCGACAAAAUGUUUGGUCCACGCCGCCAGCACUCCAAUGAGCUUGAGCAUGCCAGAUGCUGUGCCAACACAAUAUCCAACCUCCCCGCCUCACGUCUUCACCAUCAGCAACCAUGAGAUAUCAAGCUUUGUGAUUCCUGUGCAUGACAGCACAAGUGAACACCAAGUGGUCAACCAAAGGGCGAGUCCUGAAAUUAGUGUGCUAGCAUUUUUGUACAAUGCAGAAGCUAUGCUAUUAUCAUCACUGGCAUCUAUAGCGCUUGGUCCCCCCACUGCGAGCCUCAUCACUUCGAUCUCAGCAUCAUGUGUGACUAUCAGCCUAGGCGCCCAUCAUAGCUUUGAUGAAAUGUCAAAGGGGUCAUGGUGUCUCCCACAGCUGCGACAUCAGCACUACGGGCCUGGCAAUGUUUGGAAAUUCCUCCACAGUUAUUCUUCAUGCAUCAUUGACUAUCAUGGCACUAAGCAUAACAAUGUUUUUAGGAGAGCACUCGUCUGGUGCUGCAAGCUCUACGUUCAUGAGUUGUUGGGUCAUUUUGAGUAUUUGUUGCUGGAUAUAACCAAGGAGCACACCAUCAUCUGCAUUAACUCAAGUGGCCUAGAGAGGACAUUUAUUCUGUGGCUAUCGUGGCCUACGCCAGUUAAGAUUGUUCAUGCAAGUGGUGAGCUUCGGCCAAGGUCAUGGCCAUCCCUAUAUUGCCAUCAGUCUAUAGUUGCUUUUGGAUUUGAUGAAUCGACCUAUAUUAGAGAUUGCCAGUAUUACAUCUGUCUCUUGAAGUCUCCAUGGCCACCCCCAUUAAAACAAAAUUUCAAAUACAUGUAUGCUAAACUAUCAAAAAUCAUGCUGGCGAUGGCAAUGAGUCUAAAAUGUGCACAUACUCCUGUAGUUGCUGGGCAAAUGUACAUUCAGAGAAGUAGAUGCAUGGUGGAUUGUUUUCAUAGGGAUCAAAUCUCUAAAUGCUGGAAGCAUCAGUUUGAGUUGGCAGAAAGUGCAUUUCAACUGAACCUUUGGUUUGAGUUUGAGCUGCAUGGCACCCAACAGAAACCUCCUUGGAGUGCAUUUCAACUGAACCUCUGGUUUGAGUUUGAGUUGCAUGGCACCCAACAGAAACCUCCUUGGUUAUCUAUUGUUCACAGUCUGUUGUUUCUGCUAAAACUGCUCUGUAUACAACUGAAUUGUCCAAUUGAUACGCUAGUAGAGAUCAAAGACAGUGGAUCUUCCGAAAUUCCAGUACUAGGGCUAUCCUUCAGAUGGAGCGGAAAGGCCUUAAUAACUUCUAUUCUUAUUGAAUGGGUGGUGCUAAAGCAUUUGGAUCUCCUGCACAAGAACUACCACAUAGACUGUAUAUUCAUGUUCACAGAUUACACACUGAACAGAGCUGCAACUAUUUUUGGAAGCAAAAGGAUAAAUGAAGCAAUCUUUAGUGCAACACAAACUCAUAUUAACAUCAAGCUGGCACAGUUGGGGGUUCUUGGAGCCCUUGAAAUAAUUGAUGCUGCAAGAAAAUCCUAUACUGCUCCGAUGAUCCGUGGUAUGAGUCGUCCUAGGCCGUGGCCAAAUUUUGCACCACCUCUAAUUCCAAGUCAAGGAUAUUGCUCCGUUGUCUGGCAAAGUGACCACAAUAGCAGAUGUGUGAAGUUUCCUUAUGUUGGGAGAUGCUCAGCCGAGAGUCAAUGUUUUCAGUUCAAGGCAUUGCAAUACGUGUUGCUUCACUCAUGGCACCAGGAUCUUGGAUAUGUUCAGUUUCUGCUUCGACUUGGGGGCAAGUCGAAUUUUAAGGAGGGGAGAAUGUGAGAGGUGACCAGGCCUAGAAUAGGUGUGAAGUGUGUGUGCGUGCUGGGCGUGAUGGGUGGAGUGGGCCACUGUAACCGGGAUACAUAUACACUGUCUUGUGGAGGGGGAAAGGGAAUGCAUAAUGAGAAUUAUCAA
rnacentral:lncRNA from 1 species